AAAGCAACAUUGAAGAGUCCAUAACCACAGACACAGGAAACACAGGCAAGAAUCGUGACAAAUCUGUUCCUCAUUACUGUGGUCAGCUUUGACUAUCGCAUCUAAAUUCUGUUCUGGGACCUGUUAACCAGGCCUGAACUGCGUGAAGGCUGAUGUUCGGGAGCUACAGCACACAGGCUUUGUUUCAUAUUAAUCACCUUCUGUGCCUGGGGUGCAGUUAUUCUAUCCACACAACAGCACCAGGCGCUGUGCUCUACCCAGCCUGACACAACCCCACAGGAAGUUGCCAAUCACUGACAGAGAUUGAGAGAGAGCGAAAGAGGGAGAGAGAAGGAGCGAGAAUGAGUGGAUGACAGGCUGAUGCACUCCCUCGGCUCAUGUAGCAGAGAUAUAAAGGCUGUCUGUUUCGAAUAAUAAUAGAAAUCAGCAGAAGAAGCUAGAGUGUCGGCACGCUGAAAGGGGGGUAAAGGGAGAUGAAUGAGAGUUGCCAUCGGUGCAGGACAUUCAUCAGCAUUGGUUCAGCCAUUUGGGUGUAAAGAAGUUGUUUUCAGGUAGGGAAUGAUUUUGGUAGAGAAAAGAUGGCUCAGGAUCAACAUGACAAGGCAUCUUCUAUCCAAAGGCAGAGAAGGGAACAGCUGGUGAUUGGUGGAUGUGCUGUUGGACUGUGUCCAUGCAGAAGGGGACAGAGACAGCUGGGGGCUAGUAAUAAUGAUCUGCUGUGGAAUGAUUAUUUUGGACAGGGGAGAUGGAGCAAAGGGAAUGGCACAGUGGUGACAGAACACAUGUAGAGAGGCAAUUACAUUAUUUUCAAAACUUUCCUGCAGAAAACAAAUUUACCGUUCUGCACUUACACUCCCCAAGAUUAAUGAACUAUAAAAAUGCACUUUACAGAAAUGACUUGCCAUUAUCAUAUAUAAAGCUGAGUAUUACACAAGGAUGGAUUGAAAUUGUACUUCAUGUGGAAAUACUGUAUAUAAAUUAACUGGUUUAAAAUUUUUACUGGUUUAAAUGUUUAACUGGAGUGUUUUUUAAAAGUCAGAUUAGAUACUACAAAAUGUGCCCUUUUAAAGGGUUUUCAGUUAGAAAAAGUUACAAAAAAAAGUCUACUGAAGAGGCACCAAUUAUAGAAAGCUGGAGACUUCUGGUCACCUCUUGUCAUGUGUAAUUUUCUCCAGACAGGGCAGCCUGUGGUGAGAGGUGUUAAGAAAACAAACCGUGGCCAGAACCUGAUUUUCUGCUUGUAAAAUAAUAAUGUGCUCCUCUCUGCAUGCAUGCGAAAGUGUGAAUUUGAAUCUGUAUGUGAAUGUUUGUCUCUUUGUGGAGAACAGCAGUUUGCUUUUAAUAAGAGAGAGAAGGACGAGAAAGGAAAAGGAAGAUUCAGUGCCAGGAUCUUGCAUGGCAGCCAAAAGGGCUUUACUCUAAUUCAUUCAGCUACAGAAGUUGUUUCUUUUUUACUAUUUCCAUCCAUCAUGCACACAGAUAAUAGAUGCUCUUAUCACUGUAAAAUGUGCUAUCUCACUACAAGAUUACCUCACAGAGACAAUGCCAAGAUACAAUAAAUACAUCAUAAAUAUCCAGUUUGAGGUCCGUUCUUGAGACAGUUUGCAUAUUGCUUGGCUGGCUUUAGCUGCACCCCAUCCCAUAAUUUCUGAACAGCAC
ensembl:lncRNA